AACGGAAGCGACGGCGGCGACGGCGGAAGCUUCCCCUUUCCAAGAUUCUUGAUCGCGGCGACGACGACGACGACGAACACGAGCAACGCUGCGGCGACGACGACGUACGAUGACAUCUUGGUGGAUUUUGCCACAAAGCUGCAGAAGGUGUGUUCAGAAACUGGAGGAGAUUGAUGGAGGCAAACCUUGGAGACAAGGACAUUGAUGCCGGCAUGCUUGUUGUCCCAGCCGAAUUCGUUGGUGCUAUCCUCUGCUCCAAGGGUCUUGCCGUUGUUCUGAAUGUAGUCGAGGUAGGUGCCUUCCUUGGAGGCUCUCCGUAGCCAUGCUGCUCCCCACAGCAGCUCAUCCUGCCAAGAAUUUUCAGUCGUGUGAACUUUGAGAUUUUUAUUCACCCCCCCCCCCCCAAAACAAAAAAAAAAAAAACUAUGUGAUCAAUUAUGAGCUUCUGAUGGUUGUGAAGUUCUAAUUCUGGAGUUCGUAACAACAGCAUUUGACGGGUUCAGUUUUUUUUUUCCAGAAAUACUAGAAAACGCUAUUACCGUUGUAACGGUUUAGUUUAUGUUUGAUGGAUAAGGUAUCAGGUUUGAUACCUCUGUGUAUCAUGUAUUUGUGUACCAGAUAUGGAACGUAAUAGAUUAUGAUGACAUCAGCAUUGUAACUAUAUACUAGAACUCGAGUAUCAUUUUUUUUAGAGAAGGGUUUUUACCCGGCCUUUACAUCCAAUCGGAUAUAUGCAACCGAUUAUGAUGACAUCAGCAUUGUAACUAUUUACUAGAACUCGAGUAUCAUUUUUUUAGAGAA